rfam:Schistosoma rodhaini strain Burundi genome assembly, scaffold: SROB_scaffold0009519
AUCCAGCUGACGAGUCCCAAAUAGGACGAAUUGCGCGUCCUGGAU